rnacentral:rRNA from 1 species
UGAGGAAUAUUGCACAAUGGGCGCAAGCCUGAUGCAGCCAUGCCGCGUGUGUGAAGAAGGCCUUCGGGUUGUAAAGCACUUUCAGCGAGGAGGAAGGUGGUGAGCUUAAUACGCUCAUCAAUUGACGUUACUCGCAGAAGAAGCACCGGCUAACUCCGUGCCAGCAGCCGCGGUAAUACGGAGGGUGCAAGCGUUAAUCGGAAUUACUGGGCGUAAAGCGCACGCAGGCGGUUUGUUAAGUCAGAUGUGAAAUCCCCGGGCUCAACCUGGGAACUGCAUUUGAAAACUGGCAAGCUAGAGUCUCGUAGAGGGGGGUAGAAUUCCAGGUGUAGCGGUGAAAUGCGUAGAGAUCUGGAGGAAUACCGGUGGCGAAGGCGGCCCCCCUGGACGAAGACUGACGCUCAGGUGCGAAAAGGCGUGGGGAGCAAAACAGAUUAGAUACCCUGGUAGUCCACGCUGUAAAACGAUGUCGA